CUGAUAUGUCCUGCAGUUCCUAUCUAGGCAAAAGCCAUCAGGUCCCCUACAUAACCUCCCACUGUUCCUCUAGCCUGGGACACUUCCUGACAGAGCUUGUCUCUCCAGCUGGGAUCAGAACUGCUCAGGCUACUUCCCCACUCAAGGGCCAGAAGAGCCUGCAGGAAAAGCUCCCACACACAAGUGUGAAUGAACACCGUCUUCCUUGCCAGUGUCCACUGCUGUCAGAUACAUACACCCUCUGAAGAGGGUUUGGUGUCCUUCAUCUCUCAAGAAGCAAUGGGGGCACAGGAAGUGGCCUGUUCUCUCCUGCUCCAGACACACAACUCCUUCCUGGAGUUGGUAAACAAAACUCAGCAUCAGAGGAGAAGGGCAGGCAGAAGUAAGUCGAGCUGCUUAGAAAACCUAACACAGAGACAAAUUAAUACACUCAUCAGAGGCAACAGAAGGCAGAUCAGUGGAGUGAGAAACAAGAUGUCUUCCUUCCACAUCACUGCCGAAA
rnacentral:lncRNA from 1 species